CCUACGGGAGGCAGCAGUGAGGAAUAUUGGUCAAUGGACGAGAGUCUGAACCAGCCAAGUAGCGUGAAGGAUGACUGCCCUAUGGGUUGUAAACUUCUUUUAUAUGGGAAUAAACUGUUCCACGUGUGUGAUUUUGUAUGUACCCUAUGAAUAAGGAUCGGCUAACUCCGUGCCAGCCGCCGCGGUAAUACGGAGGAUCCGAGCGUUAUCCGGAUUGAUUGGGUUUAAAGGGAGCGUAGGUGGAUUGUUAAGUCAGUUGUGAAAGUUUGCGGCUCAACCGUAAAAUUGCAGUUGAAACUGGCAGUCUUGAGUAAAGUAGAGGUGGGCGGAAUUCGUGGUGUAGCGGUGAAAUGCUUAGAUAUCACGAAGAACUCCGAUUGCGAAGGCAGUUCACUGGACUGAAACUGACACUGAGGCUCGAAAGUGUGGGUAUCAAACAGGAUUAGAUACCCCUGUAGUC
rnacentral:rRNA from 1 species